CUUUGUAAACCGAAAGACCAUUCGCUCACAGCAACAUCACUGGGGAUCCAUGCCAUUGGGAUGAUUUCAAAUGAAGCUAGAAAAAAAGUGAAGCAAAAUUAAAUCAAAGCUAUUUUUUUGUUUUUGGCAGCAUUCUAAUUCCUUGUAGAUCAGCAAUAUUCCAUCGACUGGAAUGGAUAAUUGAAAUAUGACUCCCAAGCCGAUUGAGUAGGUAACAGAUUUUUCAUCAUCUCGUAGGAAACUGCCUCAGGAGAGUACUUCCCUAUAUCAACACAAUUCUCUUCCUAAAAUCUUAGAAAAGACAAGAAGCAGUAUGACAACAUCUGUAAAGACAUCAAAGAUGAAAGCAGUCAUGAAAAUAAUAAGGAAAGCUUUCCAAAACAUAUCUGGAGGUUCCAACUUCAAAUUGCUAUGCUACAAGACUCCAAUUAGCAGAUAAUAACAGGUUCAAAGAAUAUCAAAACUGAUGGCAAGAGUAUGCUGAGAUUCUAUACAGUAGAAAUGUCAACAUCCAAGAUGUCUUAGAAGAUAUUUCCUAUUUACAAAAACUAAAAAUUGCUGUUUGAUGAGCAUCCCACUCAUUACCUAGAUGGAUGACUACAAGAAGUUAUGGAAUAUUUAGAGAAAUAUGAUGAACAACAGAUCAACAAUAAAAGGUCUAUGCCAUUGAAUCUGAAAAACAAUAAUAGUUUCGAAAAAGCCAGCCUAUAUACCAAUGCUAGUGAAUUAUGAAGAGCAUACAACUGUCACACAAUAUCCUUAAUUUUACAUG